GAAAGCAGCAUUCAGUUCCUGGUAUUUGGACUGAGUUGAGCUUAUGGAUUCCCGGAGAUAUUUGACUCCAGAGUGAACUCUCUCUUCUUCUUUUGAGUGUAAAUGUGAAGGAUUUAAUCUCUGCAACCCAGAAGCAGGAGUUUGUAUGGAAGAACCCAGUGUGCUGUGAUGUCCGCCAGACUGAAUGGAACGUUGGGACAAAAGGGGCAUUGUCUUCAUUUAUCAACCAUUACUUGGAAGAGCAUACAGCUGACACUUGAUGGACGUCCUAACAGCAAGCUUCUCAACUUAUGAAAAGAGGUUUGUUGUAUCUAAGAUGUUUGGUUUUUAUUGUUUUUAUUGGGCUAUAGAUUUUACUCCACUCCCCUACCUUCCUUCCCUCUCCUCUUCCUCCUCUCCAGUGACCCUCACACUCCCAGUUUUCUUGUCUUUUUCUCCUUCCUAUGUAAAUCCAUGAAUUUCUCUCUUAGGGUCCUCUUUCUUGUCUAGGCAGUCUGGGGUUAUGGACUAUAGGCUGUUUCUUUUUUUUUUUUUUCUUUUUGCUUUAUGUCUAAAAGUCACUUAGGAGUGAGUACAUUUUACAUUUGUCUUUCUGGGUCUGGGUAAGAAGUGUGUUUUGAAUCCAUGUCCUGAGCUCGAAGGUAUUUAAGUAUCCUAUUUAGAUUGUCUAUUUAGAUUGAUUAUUCAGUUUUAGACUUAUUUUUAUUUUUCGUCAUGAGAAUGGAGUGCAUUUGUGUACGAAAUAUGUGCACAUGAGUUCACAUGCCCAUGGUGGCCAGGAGAGGACACUGGUUCCCCUGGAUCUAGCGUCACAGAAAAUUGUAAGCCACUCAGGUCCUCCACAGUGGCACAGUGCACUUUAAGCCCUGAGAAAUUCCUCCAGCCCUACUUAGACCCGCUUUCUUUCAGGGUGCAUUCUCACACAGCCCAAAGGUCUUCGAAGGCAUUUUGCUGUCAGAAAAUCUAGGGCACAAGGGAGGAUGGGCUAGGGCAUCUCUAUAUGCAGCUUGUGCCGGAUGGUGGUCAUAGAAACCUGAUGUCAUUAAGGCUACCAAGAUGACAUUUAUGGAACACGAGGUGAUAUGACAAGGACAGCAGAGGUUCCCCGCCCCCAAUAUUUGGACUGAGCUGAGAGUGUGAGUGCCCUAUGGUGGGUACUGACCCCCAUUGACACGGAAAGACAAAACGCUCACAUCCCAGCCAGAAGGUGCUGCUUCAUCUCCUGAGGGAGAAAGACAUGGAGGCUUCUGGAUACACAAGCGUGUACUGUCCUGAUUCAGAAUGACCAGAAGCCAUUUUCUGGGAGAAGAUGGGGUGUUUGUGUAAAAUAAAAUAGGCAUCAGUGCCUGCACUCGCCCAACUCCCGGCUCUGUGAAAAGGGAUGAGAAUGGCUCAUCCACAAAUCCUUUGAACUUUUAGUGAUAAUGCCUGCUUCAACCAUCACCAGCGAUAAGCGUGAAUGUCUCAGAUGGAUGUGAAAAGACUCCUUUGACAGGCUUGCUAAGAAUGUGAUUUGAACAUAAAAAUUUUUAUUGAUUUUAUAGAGCUAUACAUUUUUCUCUGCUCCCCUCCCUUCUUCUCCUCUCCCCUUUUAUCCACUCCUAUGGUCCCAUGCUCCCAAUUUACUCAGAAGAUCUUGUCUUUUUCUACUUCUCAUGUAGACUAGAUCCACGUAUGUCUCUCUUAGGGUCCUCAUUGUUGUCUAGGUUUUCUGAAUUGUAGCAACAACUUUUCUAGAUUUUAACAGAGACUUUUGUCUGGGCACCAGGCUGCUGCCUACUACUUACAAAUGCACUUUAACAAAUUCUGUUGAUUACAAUUUCAACGUAAUUUCUUUAUAGAUCCUUUGGGAAUUUCACAUCAUGUACCCAAAUCUGUUCAUUUUGAUGUACCCGCAUAUCUACCCCUUGCCCAACAAGAGAAUGAGCAACUAAAACAAAGGGAAAACAAACGAAAACCUGAACCCAAGCAAACUACCAACCUCUUUGCUCCUCCAUCUUUUCCCAUAAUCCAACACAUCUGUUCAUUCAUCUUAGUGGCAUUGGGAUCCUUGGUGAUCACAUACUAUACCAUUUUGUCCAAUCAGCUCUUGUUCUAAACAUUCAUUGCAAUGAGUCUUUGGUCUUAUUCGUGGCCUUUGGUUUCUGGUACACCAUCGUCAGUGUACCCUCACCAAAACUCUUUUCAGACAUUCCGGGUCCACAACAAGUAAUGGAGAUCGUACAGAUAUCUUCCAGAGGACUUGUCCCUUCAUGAGUUCCAGCCGGUUAUAGAUGGGGGAGACGUUAGGAUGAGCCAACCCAAGGCCCUGAAUAUGGGCCUGGGAUGUAGCUGAGUCGGUCAGUCCAGCCUACUCGGGAUGCCCCCGCUCAGGCUAGGGGCAGAGCAGCUGUCCCAUGGCCAUGCCAUCAGUGCCAGUUCUUGUGAACAGACUGCACUGUGGUUUCCCAGCCACCCAGACCUGAGUAAUCACACAGAAACUAUAUUAACAGAACAGCAGCAGUGCAGGCCUCACAGAUCGGCAUGGCCCCAGUGGCAUCAUGACACUCAGAUACCAGCAUGGCCCCAGGUGGUAGUCCAGACCUCUAACAACCACAUGGCCUUCAGUGCUGACAGGAGCCAUGGACAUGAGCUCAGACCCUGGCCUCUGUAGGGACACAAAGCCAGACAAGACCCUUGACAACAGCUCAGACCUGGCAACACCAAGGCCCCGGUUGGCAGCUUGGGUCUCUCAGAUCAGGGACACUCCAGUGACAACAGCACAGCCCUCAGACACCAACAAGGCCAGAGGAUGCAGCCCAGACUCCAGGCUUCUGUGUGCCCGUUGGUGGCAACAUGGACCAUGGACAUUAACGCAGACCCAGACAUAUCACUUAACAACAGCCUGGGUCCGGAUGGUUGGAGUGGUAAGAAGACCACCUACCUCAGCCUGUUCCUCACCACCUUCACGUCCUCCAUUGUCCCUCUUUUCAUAGCUCAUGAACCAUUCUGCUGCUCUUUCUCUCCUAUUACUCCACCACACAUUUUGCUCACCAUAAUGGCCCCCUUGAAGUACCGGGUAGGCCUGUGAAUGUCAUCCCGCCAGCCCAGGCUUUGACAAUGCAGGCUGUCCUGUGGGUGACUGGCAUCUGCAUGACUAGAAUGGUAUCAGGCAGCCUGGGGAUACGUGCCCAGCACCCUAUGACUGCAAGGUUUUAAAAAUUGUGUAUAUGUCGUAAGCAUUGCAGCUAAGAUGGAAAGGGAUCCUGGCAGUCGGGAGCCAAGGAAUAUCACAAAGUCACCUUAAGCUUAGGAGCUCACAGCCCUGCUUCAGGGAAAGUUUUCCCCAAAUUAACAGCUCUGCUCUGGUAGGGGAGGGUUUCCCUAGCCAAGUUGUUACAGCUUUGUUGUUACAGUCACUGAGAGAUUGGUUAGUUUUUUGCAAAUUGGUCAGUGGAAGAGUGUGUUUCUGUGGCUUUGGUUUCAGGGGCAAAGUGUGUUUCUUUCACUGGCCUUUUUUACAUGUUUGGCUCUGGAUUCAGGGACAGGCUGUGUUUCUUUCACCCGUCCUUUUUAACCUUUUGUCUGUGGUUUCAGGGCCAGUGAAUUGAUUCUAGUCUCAGGGUCAGUGUAUGUUUCUUUUGCUCUGGUUUCAGGAUCAGGGUGUGCUGCUUAGGGCAUAAAGGCGGGUUACUCCCCUAGAAAGAGAUAUGCAGUCCAUUGUGGGCCACCAAGAGAGUGCUGAGAACCCAGCCCAGGUCUUCUGUAAGAGCAGCAAGUCCUCUUAACCCUGGGCCAUCUCUGAAGUCCAAGUCAGCAAAUCUUAAAUGUAAUUAGUAUUUUUCUACUUUGCCCCAUAAUGACAAUAGACAUCUUCUUAUACUCAGGUAGGUCCAAGUUUCUUUAUUAUUUACCAAUCCAUAAAGUUUCAUUUCUAUGUUACUUAGGUUCUCAAUCCCACCCACUGCCCUACCCUGUCUGCAGGAAAAUACAACAAUCUGCCAUUAUAGACAAAUUUAUAUAUGCUGGAAUGUAUUAGAAUACAACCAGAGUUUAGAGACAUCUGGCCUUCAUUCAUCUUGAAUAUAUGUUUAAAUUUAUCUAUUUUGUUGCCCAUGAUAAUUGUUCAUUCUUACUAUUAAAUGGUGUAGCAAUGUAUAGCUACGCUGGAAGUUUUAUAAUUUAGUUUUAUUUCAUGUGUGUAUAUGUUUGCCUAUAUAUAGGUAUGAAGAUCACAUGUAUUUCUGGUGCCGUGGAGGCCAAGAGAGGACAUUGAAUCCCUUGGCACCAUAGUUACAGAUAGUUGGGAGCUGCCAUGCCAGUUAUGGGAAAUGAGUCUAUUUCCUGUUGGCUACUGUUUAGAUUGUUUUCAAUUUCAGUAUCUUGUAUAUAAAGCUGCUGUGAACUGAAAUAAAUAAGUCUUUAAAAGAAAAUAUGUUCUCUUUCUUUAGGUUAUAUGUUUGGGGAUGUGAUGGCCAUAUGACAAUUAACAUAUGAAGAAAUUGGGAAAUACUUUCCCAAGUCCCUGUCCUGUUUUCCAUGGCCACCAGCAGGGGGUAUGAGAGUUUCAUCCUCCACAACCUGCCAGGUCUUUGUAUGACAAGUCUUUAUUUCUGACUAUUUUAUGGAUGUGUCGAGAGUCCCCUCAGAGUCACUUGUCUCUCUUCCUUAA